rnacentral:rRNA from 1 species
GAUGAACGCUGGCGGCGUGCCUAAUACAUGCAAGUCGAGCGAACGGACGAGAAGCUUGCUUCUCUGAUGUUAGCGGCGGACGGGUGAGUAACACGUGGAUAACCUACCUAUAAGACUGGGAUAACUUCGAGAAACCGGAGCUAAUACCGGAUAAUAUUUUGAACCGCAUGGUUCAAAAGUGAAAGACGGUCUUGCUGUCACUUAUAGAUGGAUCCGCGCUGCAUUAGCUAGUUGGUAAGGUAACGGCUUACCAAGGCAACGAUGCAUAGCCGACCUGAGAGGGUGAUCGGCCACACUGGAACUGAGACACGGUCCAGACUCCUACGGGAGGCAGCAGUAGGGAAUCUUCCGCAAUGGGCGAAAGCCUGACGGAGCAACGCCGCGUGAGUGAUGAAGGUCUUCGGAUCGUAAAACUCUGUUAUUAGGGAAGAACAUAUGUGUAAGUAACUGUGCACAUCUUGACGGUACCUAAUCAGAAAGCCACGGCUAACUACGUG